GUUUGCAGUGCAGGCCAUGAAGGCUCUGCUCUGUCGACUGCGCUGUGACAAUGAGGUGGUGGCUAUGGAGCGCAAGCGUGGCUGGGACACGCUGCUGUGUGCUGACACCCAGCACUAUGCAGUGGGUCUGCUGGCCAGAGAGAUGCGCCAGGUCUUGAUCCCCUUCUGCUCCCGCAUUGCAUUCCACCUGCUCAAACCACUCAGCAGGGAGGAGCCAUGCUGGGAUCUGCCCUUCCUGGCUUUCCUUGUGGAGGUGAGCCUGACGGCCAGCGCUGCCUCGCUGAGCUGCCUCCCGCCUCUCUGCCCUCUCGUAGCCGCAGCUGCCUGGGACGGUGCCCGCGCCCUGCGCUGCUGCCUGGGCCCAGCCCUGGGCGGUUCCGGGCUCCUGCCGGCCGGCUCCCCUGUCACUGCCCUGUGCCUUUCAGCUCCUCGAGUGCCUGGACUUAAGUAAAUAUGGUGACAGCAUCCUGGAGAUCAUGUCCAGGUACCUGCUGAGCGAGUGCAGGCAGAGAUGUCGCCUGGCACUCAGAGGCCUCGUGGUGCUCAGCAAGGAUCCCGCCAUGGCCAGAAGAAUGGGCAGCCUGUCUCAACGGCUUGUGGAGCUGCUGGGUGAUGCAGAUGGAGAGGUGGUCAGGAUGUCCCUCUCUGUGUUCAUGAAUGUGCUGGAGAACAAAGACAUCCUGGUAUCCAGCACCACUGCCCCGAAACUGGCUGAGGCACUCUUGCCACUCUUUGAAAAUGUAAGGCUCUGUGCCCCCAGCCACUGACACUGGCUGCUGCCCAGACACUUUGUGCCCUGUGGAUUUUUAGGCCGUUGCCCACAUGGGCUGGAGAAGUUGCUGCUGAGGUUUUUUCCUUUACUCCAGGACAACAGCAAUGUGCAGAUGCUCUCCAUUCGCCUCUUCUGCAAGGUGAUGGAGUUGGUAGUGGACGAGGGAAAAACGCCCCUUAAGACAAUUGUGUGCCAGAGCCUACUCCCACUUUUAUUCCACUGCCAUGAUGAGAACCGGAACGUGGCAGAGGCUUCUCGGGAAACGCUGAUUUGUGCGGCCAAGUUCCUGAAGAGGAGAAAUCUUGGGCAGCUGGUGAAGAAGGAGCAGCUGUCGAAGUUUGCCGAGUGCCUGCUGGCAGAGGACAGGAGCCGAGCGGCCGAGCGCCUGCACCAGGCGCUGCCGUUCGUGGAGAGCCCGCAGGAGUCCCUGCGAGAGGCGGCCGUCAGGUUCAUCGGUGAGCCACGAGCCCGGGGCCCCUCCCCGCCCCGCCGCAGCUCGGCCCCAGCCCCGGCUGCUGCCCCGGCAGCGGGAUCCGGGCCCGGGGCCGUGGAGCCCCGCCUGCCCUCGGGGCCGCUGCCGCCCUCUCGCAGCCGUGCCCUCGGGCGUCAGGAUGCGGCAAGGGCCCGGGCUGAGCCCUGCCGGGGCAGGAGAGCGGGUGGCCACGGGGCUGGCAGCGCCGCUGCGAGGGAGCUGUGCCGCGGGGCCGUGACCGCCUCUGUGCUCCCAGGGGCUGCCAGGGUGUUCUUGAGGGGGCACAAGGAAGAGCUCCAGCUCCUCAGUGAGGCCCUUCAAGCCCUGAGGAGAGACGACAGCCCUUCCCAGACAAACAUUAUAGUUCAGGAAAUACUCAACGAAAGAGCUGCAGAACUACGUUCAUCUGCUGGCUCAGAACCAGUGUCCCUUUAAGACCUCCAGAUAUCCUGGAAGAUGAGACCAUCUGGAGACUAGAGUAGAGCAGCUGGAGCUCCAGGCACAGCUGAUGCUGGUCACAGCUGAGCCUGUGGAAAGCUCCCAUAGCUCCUGCCCUCUCCCUCCCUUUUGACAGCUCCAUCCCUCCAGCCCUCAGACCCUGCCCAUCCCCUUUUUUCCUCCCAGCUGAUCCCUUCACUUCGCUUCC
rnacentral:lncRNA from 1 species